CACAGUUUAUACCGUAGCUUGCUACACCAUAGACUGUGAGUUGCGAACGGGUGAGUAACGCGUAGGUAACCUGCCUAUUAGAGGGGGAUAACUAUUGGAAACGAUAGCUAAUACCGCAUAACAGUAUGUAACACAUGUUAGAUGCUUGAAAGAUGCAAUUGCAUCGCUAGUAGAUGGACCUGCGUUGUAUUAGCUAGUAGGUAGGGUAAUGGCCUACCUAGGCGACGAUACAUAGCCGACCUGAGAGGGUGAUCGGCCACACUGGGACUGAGACACGGCCCAGACUCCUACGGGAGGCAGCAGUAGGGAAUCUUCGGCAAUGGGGGGAACCCUGACCGAGCAACGCCGCGUGAGUGAAGAAGGUUUUCGGAUCGUAAAGCUCUGUUGUUAAGGAAGAACGAGUGUGAGAAUGGAAAGUUCAUACUGUGACGGUACUUAACCAGAAAGGGACGGCUAACUACGUGCCAGCAGCCGCGGUAAUACGUAGGUCCCGAGCGUUGUCCGGAUUUAUUGGGCGUAAAGCGAGCGCAGGCGGUUAGAAAAGUCUGAAGUGAAAGGCAGUGGCUCAACCAUUGUAGGCUUUGGAAACUGUUUAACUUGAGUGCAGAAGGGGAGAGUGGAAUUCCAUGUGUAGCGGUGAAAUGCGUAGAUAUAUGGAGGAACACCGGUGGCGAAGCGGCUCUCUGGUCUGUAACUGACGCUG
rnacentral:rRNA from 1 species